rnacentral:tRNA from 1 species
GCGGGAGUGGCGGAACUGGCAGACGCGCACGUUUGAGGGGCGUGUGGGUAACACCGUGCGGGUUCAAGUCCCGCCUUCCGCACCA